CAAUCCUUAAGUUACUGAAACUGAAAAGGCAUGAAUUUUCAUGUCCUCUAUAGACUGGAAAGGUUUUCUGAGUCUAAUUCUAAUAAAAGGAUAAAAUUCUCACAACAGUACUCAAUUCUUCUCAGUAAAUGGCUGAGAAAGAACUGAACUCCUUUACCAGACAAGCAAUCUGUUAAUUACUCAUAAAGGUCACAACUGAAUCACACAAGAAUUUAAUUUGUCUGUGUAACAGUGCUCUAUGUUUUCCUCAAACCCUAUGAUUUCAGAGAACCAGAAUUUCCCACUACCUCAAAACACUAGGUUGACCUCAAAAACAAGCCUGGAAAAAAUAUCCUUGCAAACAUUAAAAAAUGAAACACGAACAACUACCAAAUGAUGUUUGACAUUUAAGAAUGACCUUUGUGUAGCAAAUAAAGUCAUCUUCCAAAAAGCCAAUGUUCAAACUUUCCCAGAAAUAAUUUGCAAAUGAAAAGAGAUCACCAGCUAAAAAAGCAAUUACUAGCCAUAAACCUUUCCUUUUUUGCAAACACCAUUGAAAUUAGUGAAGUUAAAUGUCCAGAUUAAGUAGAAAUGCUCCAUCAGUUCUCUCAUAACUUUUUGGACAUUGCUGAAUCAGUUUUGAUAACUCUACUGAAUGAACAUUUUAAGUUUUAAAUCUCCUUCUUUUGCAGCCUCCCUUAUGGAUGGAGAGAUCCUAUGUUAGCAUCCACAGUGUCUCACUAUAUUUAGUGACUUAGACAUCUAAACAAAGACAGGUUUGCUGUCUCUUGACUCCAGGUUUUGCCUUCCAAAUCUCACACUGAUUCUAUAAAAAACAAUCUCCAGGCUUUAAGCAGAAGAUUACGUGGAAAAGCAUUUAAAUCCCACCCUGAGACCAGCCAGUAAGUGAUAUGAACAAAUACAUUAACAGAAUUAACAUAAAGUGAUCUUAUGAACUUCAACUCAGAAUCUCAUGUAUGUCAAUAAAUCCUUUCUUUUGUGCUUAAGUGAGGAUACCAACAUUUCUUCAGCACCUACUGUGUCACUACCCUUUGGUAGAAGAAAUUCGCUACCUCAUUUAUUUAUGUGUGAAAUAAAAAUUCUUACUUCAUCAUCCUAUGGAGAGGUGAGGAAAUGAAGGAUAAUGUAAAAAUAUCCAGUUACACUAGAAAUAAAAAAGCUGAAAUUGAAAAUUAGGUAUGUCUGUGUUCAAAGCCAAUGUUCUCUCUUUUACAAUACUAAAAGUAAAUGCACAAAGGUAGGGUAUCCUUCACCCAUAUAAAAGUAAUUCAAACUCAUUACAGAAAAAAUAUGUGUAUCCUUACUCCACUACCAAAAAAUUCUUACUACCAGUGUUUUCUGUUUUAGACUCAUUUGGGGGGAGUGGCAUAUGUCAUAAUAUGUUAUGAUGCCCCCUUGAGAACUUGUGCCACGAGUUAACUAGUGCAAAGAUUUCACUGUUGAGGACAAAUUUACUGAAUUAAAAUCUCCAAUGUCUCCUAGCGACAGAAAGGCAACUUUGACCAUUGAGAGUCAUCCCAAGUUUGAAGACAAUCAAAGAACUGCUGUGAAGCAAGGAGACAUGGGGGUGAUCACGAUUUCUGCUCAGUGCUGUGGAAUGAUGAGGUUGAAGAUGGAGGUCAUGGACCAGCCUGCAGCAGGUAGUCUCUGAAGUGGGACACCUGUAAUUGUCUGCUUGGCCAACCAAGCAGAAAGGGAAGCCUGCUAGAGUUCUCAAUGCCAUUGUGAUUAAAAGAGAUCACAGCCUAUUUUGCUGCAAAAUACAUCUAUUCACAAGUAGCCUUAUAGUUUUAGUCUACAAUACAGAGUGUUUUUGCUCAAUUCUUAUGGACAGGAAAUGGAGAGAUGCCAUAUAGUGAGGAACAGGGUUAACUUAUUAAUUACUCUUAAAGUAAUUCUGAGAUUACUUUAAUUCUGAGAUCACAUGAGCUGGAGAAAGGAUAAGAGUAGCAUUAACAAAGUAAAUCCAGAGACUAACUACAAAACCUUUAUAUAUGUAUCCUAAAUGUUUGGGUUUUUUUUGUCUUUAGGAAUAGAGUUCUAAUAAACACAACAAUAUUUUGGACCUAUUUGGGACUAUUAAUAAAGAUAUAAUUCUUGCAUAAUGACACUACACAUUGGCCAGAUAAUAUAAAAUAUGAGAGACAGUCUCAAUGACCUAAACAUUCAUUUUCUUCAUUAUGAUGGCAUUAAUAUGAGGUGUCUCAUAUUGGUGGUCUAAAAACAGUGGUCAUAUCCAUCUUUAUAAAUGGAGUAAAAUUCAGUUCCCACGUAACAUCAUCAGUUUUAUAAACAUGCCUCACUUUAAAUUGAGAGGGAAGAAAGACUGACAUUCAUAAUAGUCCUAACACUGCUGAAGUGAUAGAAAUCACAAUAGAACUUCAUUAGGUUAGGUGUUUAGAGAAGGAAUGACAUUGGGGAUUAGUUUCAGUAUUUUAAACAGGGAGAGAUGUGAAAAACAGGAUGUCAAAACAGAGGGUCUCUGGAUGUCCAUGGUUGAAAGUAUUUCCAAGGAAACACCUUAAAUGUUUAUCAAUAAGCAAUAACUAAAUAAACUAGGAUACAGACAAAAUACACAAUAUUUUGCAAGAUAUAAAGUAAGAAGCAGAUUUAUGUUCAGCAGUAUUUAUUGGCUUGGAAGGAACUCGAAGGCACACUGUCACGUGAAUAAAGUCUCAGAUAACUUACAGCGGA